GUGGUGGUUCAGCGGUAGAACGCUUGCCUAGCAUGUGUGAGGCCCUGGGUACAAUUCUCAGCACCACA
rnacentral:tRNA from 1 species